GACGAAGGAUGCAAGCGUUAUCCGGAUUCAUUGGGUUUAAAGGGAGCGUAGGCGGACUUAUAAGUCAGUGGUGAAAUCUUCGAGCUUAACUCGGAAACUGCCAUUGAUACUGUAAGUCUAGAGUACAGUUGCCGUUGGCGGAAUAUGACAUGUAGUGGUGAAAUACUUAGAUAUGUCAUAGAACACCGAUUGCGAAGGCAGCUAACGAAGCUGUAACUGACGCUGAGGCUCGAAAGUGCGGGGAUCAAACAGG
rnacentral:rRNA from 1 species